AACGAACGCUGGCGGCAGGCCUAACACAUGCAAGUCGAGCGAGGACUUCGGUCCUAGCGGCGGACGGGUGAGUAACGCGUGGGAACGUGCCCUUUGCUUCGGAAUAGCCCUGGGAAACUGGGAGUAAUACCGGAUGAGCCCUUUGGGGGAAAGAUUUAUCGGCGAAGGAUCGGCCCGCGUUGGAUUAGGUAGUUGGUGGGGUAAUGGCCUACCAAGCCGACGAUCCAUAGCUGGUUUGAGAGGAUGAUCAGCCACACUGGGACUGAGACACGGCCCAGACUCCUACGGGAGGCAGCAGUGGGGAAUCUUAGACAAUGGGGGAAACCCUGAUCUAGCCAUGCCGCGUGAGCGAUGAAGGCCUUAGGGUUGAAAAGCUCUUUCAGCUGGGAAGAUAAUGACGGUACCAGCAGAAGAAGCCCCGGCUAACUCCGUG
rnacentral:rRNA from 1 species